rnacentral:tRNA from 1 species
GCCCUCGUGGCGGAACUGGUAGACGCGCAUGGUUUAGGACCAUGUUUCCUUACGGAAGUAGGGGUUCGAAUCCUCUCGAGGGCA